UCCAAGCCCCCAGUGCCGCCAGCCCUGUGCUCAGCCGCCACACAACCCGGCCGACGCCUGGCAGCCUUGGGGGCCAUUGUCAUGACCCCAUUUUCCAGAAGAAAAGCCGAGGCUCUGAUCAGGAGGACACAUCUUUGGGGUGUCAGAGUGACCGUCCUCUCCAGGCCCUCAGGGUCACCCCGCACCAGGGCGGGGGCCGCAGAGCCCACUGCUGUCUCUUCUCCGAAGCCCAUCUGUACGCUGUGAACGUUAAAAGUGAACCACACUACCCUUCCCGCCAACAUUAAAGAAGGACCCUGUGACGACCAGGGCCCUCCCUGAUGUCAGGGCAACGUCCCCAUCUCCAGAGCCGAACGGAAUCGCACCUGGGUUGCCAUGUUUGCCAUGUGAGGGGACUGUUCACAGGUUCUGGGGAUCAGGAUGUGGACAGCGGGCUGGGGGGCAUUGGUUCCAAAUGCAAAUUAGCCACCCCUCCCAAGGCCGCCCAAAGUCCCAGCUCACGACAGCACCAACUCAGGUCCAAAUCGCAUCCAAGUCCUGCCCGCUCGCUCGCUCAGAAGCCUCAGAUCUCAUCAUAGAAAUCAACAUCGGGUACGGAUGAGGCUCAGGCGAAGCAAGAGGCUGGGUGGGAAGGACACAGCGUGGGCACUGGAUGUGGCUAAGGGCAGGGGCUCAGAGACUGCCCAUCAAAGGCCGCCCUGGUCUGGGGGUGGGGGGUGGGAGCUGGAGGGGCGGCACCGAGCCCUGUCCGUCUGGGGCAGACCCUGGCCCAGGACUGCGAGGGUCCCGCUCAUCACGAAACCCAAGGCGCAGUCACCCCGCGCCCAUGCUACAGACGGACAAGUCGAGGCGCACCAUGGAGGUCUCCCUGGACGCCCGGCUUCCUUCCAUCUGCAAGCCCACUGCCUCCUGCGGAGCCACAGAGACGCGGGUCCUCCGAGGUGCCUAGAGCGUCCCGGAAGUGAUGAGACGGAGGGGCGCGGCCCGGCAGAGGGCGGGGCACCGG